UACGUAGGGUGCAAGCGUUGUCUGGAAUUAUUGGGCGUAAAGAGCUCGUAGGCGGUCUGUCGCGUCUGCUGUGAAACUCGGGGCUUAACCCCGAGCCUGCAGUGGAUACGGGCAGACUAGAGGUAGGUAGGGAGAAUGGAAUUCCCGGUGUAGCGGUGAAAUGCGCAGAUAUCGGGAGGAACACCGGUGGCGAAGGCGGUUCUCUGGGCCUUACCUGACGCUGAGGAGCGAAAGCGUGGGAGCGAACAGG
rnacentral:rRNA from 1 species